CGAACGCUGGCGGCGUGCUUAACACAUGCAAGUCGAACGGUGACGGAGAGCUUGCUCUCCUGAUCAGUGGCGAACGGGUGAGUAACACGUGGGCAACCUGCCCCAGACUUCGGGAUAACGCUUCGAAAGAGGUGCUAAUACCGGAUACGAACUUCUCUGGCAUCUGGGAAGUUGGAAAGUUUUUCGGUCUGGGAUGGGCCCGCGGCCUAUCAGCUUGUUGGUGAGGUAACGGCUCACCAAGGCGACGACGGGUAGCCGGCCUGAGAGGCGACCGGCCACACUGGGACUGAGACACGGCCCAGACUCCUACGGGAGGCAGCAGUGGGAAUAUUGGACAAUGGGCGAAAGCCUGAUCCAGCAAUGCCGCGUGAGUGAUGAAGGCCUUAGGGUUGUAAAGCUCUUUUACCAGGGAUGAUAAUGACAGUACCUGGAGAAUAAGCUCCGGCUAACUCCGCGCCAGCAG
rnacentral:rRNA from 1 species